rnacentral:rRNA from 1 species
AGUGAACGCUGGCGGCGUGCCUAAUACAUGCAAGUCGAACGGAGUGGCGCACGGGUGAGUAAUAUAUAGCUAAUCUGCCCCUUGCUGGAGGACACCAGUUAGAAAUGACUGUUAAUACUCCAUAGAAAGGGAUGAGACUAUAUCGUAUCAGCUAGUCGGUGGGGUAACGGCCUACCGAGGCUAUGACGCGUAACGGGUCUGAGGGGAUGAUCAGUCACAUUGGACGGGAGGCACGAGCGAAACACCUACGGGAAGGAGCGGAAGGGAGUAUUACGCAAGGGGGGAGUACCAGACGCAGCAUCGCGGCGUGGAGGAUGACACGUUUCGAAGCGUAAACUCAUUUUGUUAGGGAAGCGGUACCGAAAGAAGAAGCACCGGCUAACUCCGUGCCAGCAGCCGCGGUAAUAC